UCCCAGGAAUUAAAAAACAAGAAGAUAGGUUACAGUGUUGGAUCUCAAACUUUAGUGUACAUCAGCAUCACUUGGAGUUAAGGCACAGCUUGCUGGGCUGAACACCUACAGUUUCUGAUUCAUUAGGCUUGGGGCAAGGCCAGGAAUUUAUAGUUCUAACAAUUUCCCAGGAGAUGCUGCCAUUGCUGUUCUGUGAACCACACUUUGAGAACUACUAGGAUCCUGAAACUGCUCCAGCUAUUUCAUGAUGACUAGCAUGACUCCAGUGGGAUUUAGAGCCUUCUAGAGCAUGAUAAGAGGUAACUUCCAUCAACAGAGCUGCAUGCUAUUAUUCAUCCUAUCUGGGAAAAGGAACCUCUCUUUUGGCCAAACUUUCUUCUCCAGUACUUGACUUAAGCAUCCCUUUUGCUCUGUGUCAAUUAAUUAAACAUCUACAUCUAUUUGCCAA